rnacentral:rRNA from 1 species
GAUGAACGCUGGCGGCGUGCCUAAUACAUGCAAGUCGAGCGAACAGACGAGGAGCUUGCUCCUCUGACGUUAGCGGCGGACGGGUGAGUAACACGUGGAUAACCUACCUAUAAGACUGGGAUAACUUCGGGAAACCGGAGCUAAUACUGGAUAAUAUAUUGAACCGCAUGGUUCAAUAGUGAAAGACGGUUUUGCUGUCACUUAUAGAUGGAUCCGCGCCGCAUUAGCUAGUUGGUAAGGUAACGGCUUACCAAGGCAACGAUGCGUAGCCGACCUGAGAGGGUGAUCGGCCACACUGGAACUGAGACGCGGUCCAGACUCCUACGGGAGGCAGCAGUAGGGAAUCUUCCGCAAUGGGCGAAAGCUUGACGGAGCAACGCCGCGUGAGUGAUGAAGGUCUUCGGAUCGUAAAACUCUGUUAUUAGGGAAGAACAAAUGUGUAAGUAACUAUGCACGUCUUGACGGUACCUAAUCAGAAAGCCACGGCUAACUACGUG